UAGAAGUUCUUAGUGCAGGCUGUGAAGCAGU
rnacentral:piRNA from 1 species